rnacentral:rRNA from 1 species
GGGGAAUUUUCCGCAAUGGGCGAAAGCCUGACGGAGCAAUACCGCGUGAGGGAAGAAGGCUCUUGGGUUGUAAACCUCUUUUCUCAAGGAAUAAGUACUGAAGGUACUUGAGGAAUCAGCAUCGGCUAACUCCGUGCCAGCAGCCGCGGUAAUACGGAGGAUGCAAGCGUUAUCCGGAAUGAUUGGGCGUAAAGCGUCCGCAGGUGGCUGUGUAAGUCUGCUGUUAAAGAGUGAGGCUCAACCUCAUAAAAGCAGUGGAAACUACACAGCUAGAGUGCGUUCGGGGCAGAGGGAAUUCCUGGUGUAGCGGUGAAAUGCGUAGAGAUCAGGAAGAACACCGGUGGCGAAGGCGCUCUGCUAGGCCGCAACUGACACUGAGGGACGAAAGCUAGGGGAGCGAAUGGGAUUAGAUACCCCAGUAGUCCUAGCCGUAAACGAUGGAUACUAGGCGUUGCGAGUAUCGACCCUCGCAGUGCCGGAGCCAACGCGUUAAGUAUCCCGCCUGGGGAGUACGCACGCAAGUGUGAAACUCAAAGGAAUUGACGGGGGCCCGCACAAGCGGUGGAGUAUGUGGUUUAAUUCGAUGCAACGCGAAGAACCUUACCAAGACUUGACAUGUCGCGAACUUUUCUGAAAGGAAGAGGUGCCUUCGGGAGCGCGAACACAGGUGGUGCAUGGCUGUCGUCAGCUCGUGUCGUGAGAUGUUGGGUUAAGUCCCGCAACGAGCGCAACCCUCGUUUUUAGUUGCCAGCAUUAAGUUGGGCACUCUAGAGAGACUGCCGGUGACAAACCGGAGGAAGGUGGGGAUGACGUCAAGUCAGCAUGCCCCUUACGUCUUGGGCUACACACGUACUACAAUGCUACGAACAGAGGGCAGCAAGCUAGCGAUAGCAAGCAAAUCCCGGAAAUCGUAGCUCAGUUCAGAUCGCAGGCUGCAACUCGCCUGCGUGAAGGAGGAAUCGCUAGUAAUUGCAGGUCAGCAUACUGCAGUGAAUUCGUUCCCGGGCCUCGUACACACCGCCCGUCACACCAUGGAAGCUGGUCACGCCCGAAGUCAUUACCCCAACUCUUCGGAGAGGGGGAUGCCUAAGGUAGGACUGGUGACUGGGGUGAAGUCGUAACAAGGUAGCCGUACCGGAAGGUGUGGCUGGAUCACCUCCUU